rnacentral:rRNA from 1 species
UUCUAUUUGAGAGUUUGAUCCUGGCUCAGGAUGAACGCUGGCGGCGUGCCUAACACAUGCAAGUUGAGCGAUUUACUUCGGUAAAGAGCGGCGGACGGGUGAGUAACGCGUGGGUAACCUACCCUGUACACACGGAUAACAUACCGAAAGGUAUGCUAAUACGGGAUAAUAUAUUUGAGAGGCAUCUCUUAAAUAUCAAAGGUGAGCCAGUACAGGAUGGACCCGCGUCUGAUUAGCUAGUUGGUAAGGUAACGGCUUACCAAGGCGACGAUCAGUAGCCGACCUGAGAGGGUGAUCGGCCACAUUGGAACUGAGACACGGUCCAAACUCCUACGGGAGGCAGCAGUGGGGAAUAUUGCACAAUGGGCGAAAGCCUGAUGCAGCAACGCCGCG